ACCUAGGUAAACUUAUAGAAAUAUAGGGGCACAAAGCUAGAAGUCUAAGGUGUUAUUAAAUACUAUGAUAGUUCAGUUGC
rnacentral:ncRNA from 1 species